GCAGUCGUGGCCGAGUGGUUAAGGCGAUGGACUCGAAAUCCAUUGGGGUCUCAUUGGGGUCUCCCCGCACAGGUUCAAAUACUGUCGACUGCG
rfam:Ixodes scapularis strain Wikel colony gcontig_1108378268422, whole genome shotgun sequence.